AUUUAUAUAAUAUAAUUAGUAUAUUUGAUUUCCAAUCAAAAAGUUUUUCUUAAAUAUAAAUA
rnacentral:tRNA from 1 species